GGAUGUGAGGACAAUCCAGCCAUGACUUCCAUCACCCCAUUGAUAACCAGGGUUGAUUUGACUGAUCUGACUGGCUACGUGGGUGUCCCCUUCCUGCCUCAACACUCCGUGGGCACCUCUCCCAAAGCUGCAUGCUAAUUGGAAGAGGAUAACCUUCUCUGACAGAGGAGGGCUGUUCUUUCUAUGAGUAGCUGCGUUCCCUGCUAUAAUCUCCAAAAAAACCCCUCUCAAAUCCAUUUAUAGAACAUAAGGUAGUCAAGUAUCGAGGACCCCAGACACAUCCAAACAUCCAAAUGAGGUGCUGUGUGCGGCAGUCUGCCUUUCUU
rnacentral:snRNA from 1 species